GAUGAAGAACGUAGCGAAAUGCGAUAAGUAAUGUGAAUUGCAGAAUUCAGUGAAUCAUCGAAUCUUUGAACGCACAUUGCGCCCGCCAGUAUUCUGGCGGGCAUGCCUGUCUGAGCGUCAUUUCAACCCUCACGCCCCUAGGGCGUGGUGUUGGGGAUCGGCCAAAGCCCGCGAGGGACGGCCGGCCCCUAAAUCUAGUGGCGGACCCGUCGUGGCCUCCUCUGCGAAGUAGUGAUAUUCCGCAUCGGAGAGCGAUGAGCCCCUGCCGUUAAACCCCCAACUUUCCAAGGUUGACCUCAGAUCAGGUAGGAAUACCCGCUGAACUUAAGCAUAUCAAUAAGCGGAGG
rnacentral:misc_RNA from 1 species